UUCUCUGUUCAGCUCUGCUUCUUCUGUCUCAACUGUCACCAACUGUCUUCUCUUCUCACUUAGCUCCCUGACCCUAUUUUUCUGCCUACUGGAACCUUCUCUCUGCUAUCCCUGAAUCCUAUUUCUGAAUCCUACUCCCAGCUCUCAGCCCCUGCUGGCUUUUUAUAACCUCUCCUGUUAUCAGAAUUCUGAGGCAAAUGACAGUGAAGGGUAUAAGGUCCUUUAAAGGGUCAUACACACAAAAUAAGUCAUGCUACACCUAGGUCUGUGUGAUCUGGCUGGAAUUACACAUCUUUAAUCCCUAUGGCUGGAUACAACAUUCCCUUAGUUUACACCUUUAAUCCCCAACAAUGUAGAGAAGGUUUGUAGAAGGGAGCAGCUAUGUUUGAAAGUGACAUCUCAUUGAGAGGCAAAGUGAUGGAUCAGAGAAAGAUUUGACAGAACGAGUCAGAGAUAGGAUAUGUCCAACUCUCACAGAAUAGCACAGGAAAGAGAGGCUACUUAAGAGCAGCGUAGAGAGAGCAGAGAGUUGAGUUAGUUCUGUGAGUGCAGUUGAGUUCAGGCAAUGCAGUUGAAUUCAGAUGAGUUCAGUGCAGUUGGUGCAGUUCAGUUGAAUGUAGCUGAGUUUGUGCGGUUCCAUUCAGUUUGUGUGGUCAGUGAAGUUCAGUUUGUGGAAUUCAGAGACAGUUUAUCCAAGCAGAGCAAUUGAGCCAAGAGAAGCCAGAUUGAAUCAGUUAGCUUGGAAGAUCAGAUUGUACAAAGACUAGAAGCUUUCAGCCUAAGCCUAAGGAGAACAGAGAAAGAAAUACUCUGGCUUAUCCCAAGCAGUAUACAGGCACAGCUUGGGUACAGCUUUAAUCUCAUCCCUUCAUCUAAGGAGAUAAAAGUUACUUUUACAAGCCUGGUCUACAUUACAAGUUCUAGGCCAGCCAGAGCUACAUAGCAAGUCACUGUCUCAAAAAAUAAACAAAACCAUUAGUUUCCUUUAAAAUCAAAUAUGCUAGCAGUUGCAGUGGUGUAGGGAUGUAUAAGAUUCCACUUGGAAAGCUGAAGCAGGAGAACUGGAUGUUCUGGUCUAGCCUGAGUUACAUAGCAAGACCCUGCCUCAAAAACAGUCCCCCUCUAACCCAAGUGCUUAGUAGCUCAGGCCUGUAAUUCUAGCACUUGGAAGACGGUGGCAGGACAAUCAAGAUUCUAAGGUCAUCAUGAUGAGGCCAGCCCCAGUUACAUAAGACUCUCAAGAAAAAAGAAGAAAAAAAGAAAAAGAAAAGAAAAAAGAAAUGAAAGAAAGAAAGAAAGAAAGAAAGAAAGAAAGAAAGAAAGAAAGACAGACAGCAACAGAAGCAGUGCAAGCUCUCGGCUUAUUUCCAUAAUUUAAGUACUUGGUAGAUGGAGGCAGGAGGAUUGCUGUGUUUGGAACUAUCUUGGGUUAUAUAGUGAGUUCUAAAACAGCCUGAGCUAUAGGGUAAAACCCUAUCCCAAAAUUUGAAAAAAAAAAUCAAGGGCUGGAGAGAUGGCUCAGUGGUUAAGAGCACUGACUGCUCUUCCAGAGGUCCUGAGUUCAAUUCCCAGCAACUACAUGGUGCAUGGUGGUUCACAACCAUCUGUAAUAGGAUCCGAUGCCCUCUUCUGGUGUGUCUGAAGACAGCUACAGUGUACUCAUAUACAAAAUAAAUAAAUAAAUCUUAAAAAAAAAAAGACUACCAUAACCACCAAAACCAAACAAAACCCAAAACCAUGUCAAUGAAGAAUUAAGUCUAGCAUUAGGGAGGUAGAGAGGCAGGACAGUUCAGAAGUUCAGCAUCACCCUCAGCAAAAUAGCGAGUUUGAGGUCAAUAUGAACUACAUGGGACUGUAUUUUAAAAACAAUAGAAGAGGGAAGCAGUUAGGCCGUGUCCAUCUCUUCUUCCUGGCCUCCAACUCCAUUCUCCCAGUCUCAGCCCCAGCUCUGUAGCAGACAACCUGUUGUGGCCUUUCCUCACUCUCUGUCCCUACCAGCAACAGCAUAGAUACACAACCUUCUAAGAACCAGAGGGAGCAACAGAAACCAAGGAAUAAAAUAGCCACCCAACAAAGACAAGACCUGAUAUCAGUGUCUAGAUUUACAGUUUCCUCAAGUGUAAAUGCCUAGACAUGAUCAUAGAAAAACAAUGACAACCAGGGCAGUCUGUCUCACCAGAGCCCAGCCCCCCUACCACAGCUGGCUCAGAAAAUGGCAACAUAACUGAGACACAAGAGAAAGACCUUAAAAUAGCCCUUAUGAGUAUGCUAGAGAUUCUUAAAGAAGAAAUGGAUAAAUCUCUUAAAGAAAUCUAAGAAAACAGAACAAACUGGAAGGAAACAAACAGAACAGUUCAAGACCAGAAAGUGGAAGUACAACCAAUAAAGAAAACUCGAACUCCGGGAAAUCAGGAAAUGAACAUUUACGGGUUUGAACAGGAAAGCUUCACCAACAUAGUACAAGAGAUGGAAGACAGAACUGUUAGACUGGAACCCCUGCUCAUCUCCGGCACAAGCUGGGAAACCCCAUCUGCCCUCCUCCCCCCCAACCCCACCCACACAGAGGAAAUGCCCUCAUUUGCUUGGAAAACUACUUUGGGCUAACGUGAACUCCUCAUCUCUGCAUUUCCAGCAACCCACCCAAGAAUGCCUGCCCAGGGGCUCAGCUUUGACCAUGUAUGGACACAUCCCAGCUCCUAGUUUACAUGUCACCACUCCUUGCUUAAACUCUGUAAAACCCCGUUGCUUUAGCCCAGAUGUAUGAUGUCACCGAUCUCCACCUGUGAGAUCAGAAUAUAUCAGAGAUUGUCUCACUACUGAUUGGCUGUAAUAAAGACCUGACAGCCAAUAGUGGAGCAGGAAGUGGAGGCCAGAACUCUUGGAGAGGAAGAGACGCUGGGAGAAGAAAUCGGGUGCAAGAGAUUUGCCUGCAGAUAUAGAGGUCUCCAGCAGAGGGCCUUGAAUUUAGAGAUUUCCUUGCCUCGGUCUCCUGGGAUUAAAGUCGUAUACUGCCUGAGCCUAAGCGUCUCAUGACCACUAUGCCUCAAGAUCUCCAUGUCAAGAUCCAGGUCAGAAACCUGUCUAUCUACCUUAAGAUCUG
ensembl:lncRNA